rnacentral:piRNA from 1 species
UGCCCCACUCCGCUAAAUUGGCUUCAU